rnacentral:rRNA from 1 species
UCCAGACUCCUACGGGAGGCAGCAGUGGGGAAUAUUGCACAAUGGGGGGAACCCUGAUGCAGCGACGCCGCGUGGGCGAGGAAGUAUUUCGGUAUGUAAAGCCCUAUCGGCAGGGAAGAAGAAAUGACGGUACCUGAAUAAGAAGCACCGGCUAAAUACGUGCCAGCAGCCGCGGUAAUACGUAUGGUGCAAGCGUUAUCCGGAUUUACUGGGCGUAAAGGGAGCGCAGGCGGCGCGCCAAGUCUGAUGUGAAACCCCGGGGCUCAACCCCGGGCAUGCAUUGGAAACUGGCGGGCUGGAGUGCCGGAGAGGUAAGCGGAAUUCCUAGUGUAGCGGUGAAAUGCGUAGAUAUUAGGAGGAACACCAGUUGCGAAGGCGGCUCUCUGGACUGUAACUGACACUGAGGCACGAAAGCGUGGGGAGCAAACAGGAUUAGAUACCCUUGUA